ACCUGCUCUAUGAUUUUAUAAUUAAAUGGCCGCGAUAUUUUGAUCGUGCAAAGGUAGCAUAAUCAUUAGUUUUUUAAUUGAGAACUGGUAUGAAAGGUUGAACGAGAAAAAAACUGUCUCAAUUUAAUUUACUUAGAAUUUUAUAUUUAAGUUAAAAAGCUUAAAUUUAUUUAAAAGACGAGAAGACCCUAUAGAGUUUUAUAUUUAAUAAAAUUUUAAAAAAUUUUAGUAUUAAAUUUUUAAUUUUUUUUUAAUUAUUUGGUUGGGGUGAUUUAAAAAUUUAGUAAACUUUUUAUAUAUUUUAUCAUUAAUAAAUGUUUAAUUGAUCCAUAUUUUAUGAUUAAAAGAUUAAAUUA
rnacentral:rRNA from 1 species